UGAGGAAUAUUGGUCAAUGGGCGAGAGCCUGAACCAGCCAAGUCGCGUGAAGGAUGACUGUCUUAUGGAUUGUAAACUUCUUUUAUACGGGAAUAACAAGAGUCACGUGUGACUCCCUGCAUGUACCGUAUGAAUAAGCAUCGGCUAACUCCGUGCCAGCAGCCGCGGUAAUACGGAGGAUGCGAGCGUUAUCCGGAUUUAUUGGGUUUAAAGGGUGCGUAGGCGGCCUGUUAAGUCAGCGGUGAAAUCUAGGAGCUUAACUCCUAAAUUGCCAUUGAUACUGGCGGGCUUGAGUGUAGAUGAGGUAGGCGGAAUGCGUGGUGUAGCGGUGGAAUGCAUAGAUAUCACGCAGAACUCCGAUUGCGAAGGCAGCUUACUAAGGUACAACUGACGCUGAAGCACGAAAGCGUGGGUAUCAAACAGGAUUAGAUACCCUGGUAGUCCACGCAGUAAACGAUGAUAACUGGGCGUAUGCGAUAUACAGUAUGCUCCUAAGCGAAAGCGUUAAGUUAUCCACCUGGGGAGUACGCCGGCAACGGUG
rnacentral:rRNA from 1 species